rnacentral:tRNA from 3 species
GGUCGCGUAGCUCAGCUGGAUAGAGCAUCUGCCUUCUAAGCAGACGGUCGCAGGUUCGAAUCCUGCCGCGAUCACAA